GGAGAAGCUGGCAGGUUGGGCUCGCAUCUCCAUCAUCUACAUUUUCAGUGGCAUAACAGGAAACCUUGCUUCUGCCCUUUUUCUGCCCUAUAGAGCGGAGGUGGGACCAGCGGGCUCUCAGUUUGGUCUUCUCGCGUGCCUGUUUGUGGAGCUGUUCCAAGGCUGGCAGGUGCUGGAGCGUCCGUGGAAGGCAUUUCUCAAGCUUGUGUGCAUUGUGCUCUUCCUCUUUCUGUGUGGUCUUCUGCCGUGGAUAGACAACAUCGCCCAUAUUUUUGGAUUCCUCAGCGGCUUGUUACUCUCCUUUGCCUUCCUGCCCUAUAUUACAUUUGGCACUUUUGACAAAUAUCGAAAACGGAUCCUAAUUGUAGUCUCUUUAUUGGCCUAUGUUGGGCUGUUUUCGUCACUGAUUGUUUGGUUUUAUAUUUAUCCUAUUAACUGGCAUUGGCUGGAGCACCUCACCUGCCUUCCAUUGACAAAUACGUUUUGUGAGAAAUAUGACAUUGACCAUGACAUUGACCAUGUGGUGCACUAGUCCAAGGAUGGAUCAACUAAAGAUGAGGUCAGAAAAUCAUGGUAAAAAAUAAACUGCAGGAAUCAUGUUUUAUCAUCGACUAGAAUGGAGAAUAUUGAAGAGGAAGAUUGCAUUUUGGUUGUGUCAAUAGCUGUAAUAUCCAUAUAAUGAUUGGAUACUCAGGAAAUAAUAACAGUAAAUUGACUUUGACACUAAAUCUUGACAAAUCUUAAAAUUUUGCGUGCCCAGAAAGACUGUACCAAUGCAAGGACACACCCAUUGCCUUCAAAACACUUCAGGGCAUGUUUUAAUGUUAAACUGUGCACUUAAUUUAUGUUGAUUAUGCACACAUGAACAGGGACGAAGAACUUUGAGCAGUGAAUCAAAACAUUUUACUUUUUUAUGGUACCAAAGCCACCAGUGCAUGCUAAUUUUUGUACAUGAAUAUUACUUUUGUUACUCAUAAGUCUCUGAACACUGUUGUGCCUAACUAAAGCAUUAUUUUAUUGUUAUGGUGGUCCCUAACAAUGUGAUAUGAUGGUAUUCAGCACUCUUCAUUAUUUAUCUGUAAACACCACAAAGGGUUUAAUAUUCUAAACAAACCUUUUUUACCUUUGUCUAUUUGCCAGAGGGUUGUUUUAGUGGAAUGCACUUAAAAGGCCCAUAUUACACUAUUUUCUAUGUUACAAUGUUGUUUCCUCAUCAAAACAUGUUUUAUUCACACGUUUAAUACACAAACCCUGCAUAUUUAAUAGACUUGAAUUCUUUCGUCAAACAGAAAACACUCUGUUCCACCUUCUGAUGUCAUGUGGUAAUACAGGAAGUGCUCAACUGUGUUUUAAAACUUCAUACAGAGUAGAAUCAUUUGGAUAAUUUCAGCUCUGGAAUUGCCAAUCCACUAAACAAAAUUUAAAAGGUAGCUAUUGUCAUGAGUAGUUUUCAAGUUAUCACAAGGUGGGACAGAGAAUUUUGAGCUUUAGAGAUGUAUACGGACUAAUAAUAAAGAAUUACACAAUUCCGGGUAUGUUUUUGAGGAGUAACAACAUUCUAACAUGGCUUCACAAAUCCAUUUUGAGUAAUAAAGGACCUUUAAUGAG